CCUGGACCCCUCGCGGUGGCUAUGUCGAGCGCCUAUCCCUCGACCAACU
rnacentral:ncRNA from 1 species